rnacentral:misc_RNA from 1 species
CAUGCGAGGGCUGUCGCUGACUCAAAGUCGUGCACGCCCGAGUGUGUCGCCUCACAUAAUAAUCCAUCUCACCCUUUGUGCAUCACCGCGUGGGCACCCCUUUGGGAUCAUCUCGGAGGGGGCUCGCGUUUUCACACAAAACCCCCCUUUUAAAAGUGUAGAAUGACCUCAUUUAUGCGCUAACCCGCAAUCAAUACAACUUUCAACAACGGAUCUCUUGGCUCUCGCAUCGAUGAAGAACGCAGCGAAAUGCGAUACGUAAUGUGAAUUGCAGAAUUCAGUGAAUCAUCGAAUCUUUGAACGCACCUUGCGCCCCCUGGUAUUCCGAGGGGCACACCCGUUUGAGUGUCGUGAAAACCUCAACCUCCUUGGUUUCUUCUGGAGACCAAAGCAGGCUUGGACUUUGGAGGCCUUUGCUGGCACCUCUCGCCAGCUCCUCUUAAAUGAAUUAGCAGGGUCCUCUUUGCUGAUCCUCGACGUGUGAUAAGAUGUUUCCAUGUCUUGGUUUCUGGCUCUGUCACCUUUGGGACCCGCUUCUAACCGUCUUCAACCUUGCGUUGAGACAACGUUCGAGCAUGUCUCCCUUCUCGGGAAGCUCCCUCGACCCCACGAACCCUUGACCUCAAAUCGGGUGAGACUACCCGCUGAACUUAAGCAUAUCAA